GAAUUUUUAUUCCGAGAGAGAUGGAUUGCUUCUCAUCUCCUCCCAAUCCUUACACAAACAUCUAUAUAAGGCGGCACUCGACGGCCAUAGAAAUCAUCAAGCUCGAAACCAAAGACAUCUGAAUUAAACAAGUUAUCAGCAAGAGCAAGAGAAUAUGUCUGGGUACCGCAGGUCUCAAAUUCGCUACACCCCAACAGGAGGGCCGACUUUUAACAGGAAUGCUUCCGAUGGAUCCCAAGCCAACACUGUCGGGUGCGGGAACCAAGUCGAUUCUAGGAUGAACGAUUGUUAUGGUAACUAUAAACACGACACCACCCAGAAUUACAGUGGUAAGUUUGCUAACUUCAAUGCUGGAGAGCACAAUAACUCCAAGAACGAUCUGGGUGGAACUUUCAAUAUGUAAGGAGAGCUGGAAGGAUUAGUGUUCUUACAUUCAUGUAAUGUAAGACUUCUAUGUAUGAAGUAAUUAAAUAAAACGAGGCUCCUAGGUCUCUUUUCGUUUUACUAAUUUUCUUCGUUAUUGCGAACUAAUCAUAUUUUCUUCUUCAAAAUUAAAUAACAAACUAGUUAACGAUAAACAUGCAAUCGAAACACCAUUUGAAGAAUGUAAAUUAGAGAUCAUCUGUAACUUUUCUGAAAUUCGUUAACUUUGACUUAGGAUAACCCCUUCUUGUUCAUUAAAAUUGGUUCCUGAACUUCAGUCUACUGCGAGACGAGUUCUUCAACUCAAAAGGUUGUUCAUUAACCGUGUCUAAGAAGUAAUUACUAAAGUAAAAUUCAGCUCUGCCGAAACUCGGAAAUUGGACGUGCGUAGGAUCCAUUUCUGAUUGCAAGUCGAUAGCCAGGACAAGUUCUGACCUUCGUUUGUGGGAUUGGCCAUGCACAGCACUGUAGAAAUUCUCAAUACAAAAUUCCCAAAACAAAGUGGAACAAGUAAUAAACUCUAAUCCUCUCUUUUCUAAUACAUUCACUAAGUAUAAGAAACAUUCGAGCUCAGGAACAAGGCUACUAAGACUGUAUCUUGGCGUUGGAAUUGCUCUCCGGUUCUCGACUACUACCACGUCUGGACGGAAGCAUGCUGGAUUCUUGAAACCAUGAAUGGACUUCUUUAAAUUGUAUUCUAGUAAUUCUAUGUACUAAUAAUUCAGUAAAACUUUUUUUUUCUUAUAAAAAAGAUUAUAUUUUAAGAAAUUUAAUGUUAAUAUAUUAACUUAUUAAUAUACUAAGAUGAUACACGAAUAUAAGUUUAUAACAUAUAUUAUUGUAAUUUAAAUUACUAUAUAUUAUUAAUUGUAAGUCAUGAUGCAUACCAAAACAAUUGUGGUAUAGAGCAUAUAUCCACUGGACAUGCCUUAUCUCUAGUGGCUGCGGCUUUCAGAUGCCUCAACUCGGAAUUUGUUUUUUAAUAAAAUCAUACAAGUUAACAUGUGCAAUUUCUUAUCACAUAGUAAUAAUGUAUGAAGAGAUACGAUCAACAUAUAAAGCCGAUUCGUUCUCAUCCCAAGUUGUUACCCUGUCCAUAAGAUAAACAUCUAUAUAAGGCACUCGAUGGGGUGCUCUAAAACUCAUCGAGCCACCGAAUUAAGAGAUUUGGAUUAAACAACUGAUCAACGAGAGUUUCGCCAAUGGCCGGGAGGUAACCUCAAUACAGGAGGCCAAUGCGAUAUGAAAUACCAUACGAGCCAGUCCCAGGGCCUACUUUUAACAACAAUGGCAGCGUUGGAACGCAGGCCAACACUGUUGGAAAUGGUAACUACGUUGAUUCUCGAAUUACCGGCAGUUAUAACCAUCGUAACUACAACAAAACUGAGAAUUACAGUGGUAAAUUUGCUAACUUCAAUGCUGGCAAAUACAACGAUUCAAACAACAAUCUGAGUGGAACUUUCAAUAUGAAAUAAUCUCCCAUGGUCUGCCAUGAGGAGUAACUAAUCUUACGUUCAUGUAAUGUAAGACGUUUAUCUAUGAAGCAAUUAAAUAAAAGAAUGUUCUGCUAUCUGUCUAAUUACUGGCUCUUUUUAUUUAUUUUAUUAGCUAAGUUUUUGUUUAAUGAGUUCAAUUAACCAAAUUGAAAUUUGUAAUCCCAAAAAGUUAUAUCGUAAUCCUGAUUAGAAUCAAUAUGAGAAUCUAUAGUAACUUAUAUAUUUGUAAAGAAACUGAUAAAAGAAGUACACUGCAGCAAGAACUUCAUAACCGAGUAAGAAACUUGUAUGUCGAAAAAUAUAAGAUGCUCCAGAAGCACAAAUGAAUUACAAGGUAUAAUAAAUUAUUAACAAAUUUUGAAUUUUGGUUCUAUGAUUUUUUGACAAAAUUUUGAAACAAAUCAAUUAUAUUUAUCAAGUCUACCAACUUAUUUGUGUUCUUGGAAUACCUGAUGAUUGUUAUCAUCAGAGCUCUCUUUUUACCCUAUAACUAAAAGUAUGAGUUGAAUUAUCAACCAGAUCCUUGUUAAGUCUGCAAAGAGAUCGUAACACAAUGCGAGGAACCUGUCCUGAUUUAGAAAGAACUAAAGAAGAAUUUGGAAGUACAUGAACGAAGAACAAGAAAGGAUUUGGAGAGAAUAAGAAAAAAUAGCAGAAGAUUUAGAGAUAAGAAAAAUUAAGAAGAGAAUAAGAAAUCCUAGACGACUGAUUCAAUUCAAAAGGAUUUGUGUUUACAAAAAUUAUCUGCUCAUAAUCUCCAUUUCUUUCUCUUUUAUAUCAGUUUCUCUAAUAGCAGCAAAGCAGAAAUUACAACUAUUCUCUAAUUAAUUUUCAUUAAUCCAGACAACCAAACUAGUUAUUAUCUCCAAAACUAACCAAUAUGAAAUUUGGGUCCUGACACAUACAACAUGGCAAGCUUUAUCUAAUCGAUCUCUCAUGUUGAGAUUUUCACCCAGAUCAUUUUGGAGUCACAUUUCCCUUGGUUGAAAUUGGCAAAUUUACUUCUGUAAUUCUUAGUACUGGGUGUGUAGGCGUGUUGUAAGACUUAGUGAGGGAAAAUGUUCGGAUAGUUGUUGUCUCCAACAGUUUUCGGCCUGGGGAGAUAAUGCUUGCCAUUGUUGUUAAAGAUAGGCCCUGGAACAUGCCAACGCUACGAACAUUGCACGUGUAGUUUUAUUCUAUUCUCAAACUGUUCUAUCAAAGAAUUCGAGCAUACAAGUAUUCGGAAAAUAGCAAGCACUAAUAAAGAACAACGGCUUGUAGAUAUUAGCCAACAUGAUAUUUUUUCUUUUUCCCCCUUUUGAGGAUAUAUGCUCAUCCCAAUUGCGAGGAAUGUGAUUCUACGAACUAAAUUCUAUAUUACUUUAUACUCUACUUUGGAGGAAAGAAGAAAAACAAGUUUCUGCAAAAUUUUUCUAUAAUUUUUUUCUGACAAAGACUUGAAUUAGACUCUGAAAAUGUUCAUUUCUAGUUUUGUAGCAGCUAAUUGUAAUUUCUGUAAGAACACAUAGAUAUAUACCAAUAGAAAUAAUAACUAUUGAGGUAAAAGGGUCAAAAGACCCAAAAUGAAUAAUGCAUGUAAUUGAUUACACACACACACACUCAUAUAUAUAUAUAUAUAUAUAUUCUACUGUUAGUAGUAGAUCUUCUUGAAUUCCAGAAGAAACCAACUUACCCCAAUAUAGAGAGCUUUAGAAACAAAAUUUUUACCUCUAGUGCGUCGGAUGCUUUAGUAACAACUUUAUGUCUAGUGCGUUGGUAGUGCUUAUUGCUUUCAGAUGCCUCUUUUUAUCUCCUGGAAUUUCUUAUCAAAUCAGUCGAAUUUUUAGUCCGAUAAUGAUGGAUUGCUUCUCAUCUCAUCCCAGUCCUUACAUAAAUGUCUAUAUAAGGUGGCACUCGACGGCCAUUAAAAAUCAUCAAGCUCGAAAUUAAAGACAUCUGAAUUAAACAAGUGAUCAGCAAGAGUAGGAGAAAAUGUCUGGCUACAGAAAUGCUCAAAUCCGUUACACCCCGACCGGAGGGCCUACUUUUAACAGAAAUGCUUCCAGUGGGUCUGAAGCAAACACUGUUGGGAACUGUAACAAAGUCGAUUCUCGGAUGAACGAUUGUUACAAUGAGCAUAAAUAUGAUACCACUCAGCACUACAGUGGUAAGUUUGCUAACUUCAAUGCUGGAGAGCACAAUGAUUCCAAGAACAAUCUGAGUGGAACUUUCAAUAUGUAAGGAGAGCUGGAAGGAUAAAUAAUCUUACAUUCAUGCAAUGUAAGACUUCUUAUGUAUGAAGCUAUGAAAUAAAACAAGGCUCUCUUUUAUAUAUAUUCUAUUUAGCUUCUUCAUUUUUCGAGCUAAUAUGUUGCGUUUCCAAAUAUGAAUAAUUAACAUGAAGAAUUGCGCCAACCCGUAAGAUUACAGAUUAAGUUUACUUGUCCGAAAUUUGGUGGUUAUAUCGCACUCUCACACAAAAGAAAGGGAACUCAAUUACAUUUCCAAAAAAUCACUUAAAAAAACAACUUAAGAAAUCAUUUGGUGAACUCAAAGUAGAAUCGUAAACUCAACUGAAGCGUAAUCGAACACAACUAUGUAACUAGAGAGGAUUUUUUGCACCGAAAACCGAAC
rnacentral:lncRNA from 1 species